rnacentral:sRNA from 1 species
ACACGCGAAAGGAGGUGAUCCGGUAGAUGUGUUAUUCCCGGACUCGUGAGGUGACUGCGGGCUAGCGGCCCGCCACCACACCCAGCAGUGGGUGCCGGACCAGCGUGUGCGCGACGCACGCAGCCGGCCAGUUCAACGCAGUCACCCGACCCGCGAGUCGCCGGUAAGUCCGGCCGGCCCUCCCCCGGAGGACCAGACUCGCGGGUCGUCCGCG